CCAGCCCUCAGUUCCUACCUGCCCUCCUCCUGGUUGCCAAUCCGAAGCAGAGAACGUUGGUGACUUGAGUAUAAUUCGCUUUAAUUACAACAACAUGUGUAAAUGACAGGAUGCCACCGCCGUGCGCAGGUGGCGGCCACAGAAUACGCAUCAAAUUCAUUCUGCCCAAGGAAGGGGGGAGGCGGGGGACUUGUGAGCAGGGGGCCCCAGCCCCUCGGUCCUGUGGAUGGUGGGGUCACCGCCCAAUGGCCGCACACGGCCCCUGAGCAGUAAGCAGAUGGGAAGCAGAGCAGCAAUAAUACUGGGUGAGUCCUUCCUUGCGUAAAACAUCUGAAUUAACUCAUUGAAGGUAUCAAAAAUAUACCCUGUAAACCAAUACACCAUUUACACCUGCCUCCUCUUCCCACCGCUGCGGCCACUGCGUGCGAGCGAAGAAACGGUCCAGGUCCGUGGCGUCUGCCCGGCCGACCCGGCUUCCAGCAGUUUCACCAGCUGGGGCGGCCCGUGGGGACCGGGACAAGAGCCUAGAGGCUGGAUGAGGCCCGUGUUCGUCUGUCCAGAGCAGUAAGCGGGGUGGGAGGCAGAGGGAGGGUGCGGGGGCCACUAGCUCGGAUUAGACUUUGGUUCCAGAUGCGCUGGGGGAGGCAGUGGGGUGGAGGUGCGUAGUCGUCCUGUCUUGGGUCCCCGCUGCCCCGGCCUUGCGCGUGUGGCUGCCACAUGCUCGCCACGCGCCUCCCCCAGCCCGCCACCCUCCCCUCCCGAGCACCAGGUGAACAUCCCCUGAGAAAGGUCACUGCACAGGGCCAGCCCGGGUGGGAGUCGUAGUUAAGGCUUUAGACAGGCAAGGACGCCAGCUCCGCUCUGGAUGGACGGACAGACGCACGCGCACGGCAGGCGGACUCAGGGCUCCUUCCUCUCUGGGCCGCUUCUACCGGGACCUGGCACCGCCAUGCGCAGUCACUCACUGUCGGAGAGCGUCUCGUACUGCGAGCAGAGUAGUGGCUUGGGCUCCUCCUCCCAGGCGUGGUGGGCACCAGCGAGGACCCCGCUGCCCGCGGGGAUGCCAGGUGGGGGCGGCGAGGCCAUGACACCUGCCUGCAGCCGCAUGAUCAGGGGGUUGUAGGGGAAUGGCGUGGAGCCUGUGGGACGACAGGGGCAUGGCUCAGGGGGCCACCUGCCGGCUACACCAGCCGCUGUCCACCCAGGGACCUUCAGGCCUGUGACACUUUUCACUUCCCUGCCCGACUCCUCCAGGGUGCUAUGCAUAGGAUAUCCUGACUCACGAAAAGAAACCCAUGGCCCUGGCCGCUGCCUGCCCUACAUCCUGGUGCCCAAGUGGCCCUCCGUCUCCCUCCCCUCCCUGGGCCUGGGCAGCCCCAGCCACACCUCUGCCCUCCAAGGCAGCCUAUCUGGGCGCUGCCUGCAGCCCUCCCGACCGCACCUGCACAGCGGUGCGCACCUGUGGACGAGGGCCGGUCCUCCCACACGCGGUUGGUGAGUGGUGUCCGGCGGUUGCAGUCCCCCUCGGAGUGCACCGAGGAGACAGAGGGUGGCCGGUCUCCGGACACCAGACCUGGGGCUGGGGACUUGGCUUUUCGGCUGCUGGGUCUGCCAGAGACCUUGCCCUUCCCACCGCUGCCUGCAGGAAGGACAGAGGGAACAGGGCUGCAUUGGACAAUGACAACAGCACCCGUACCAUGGGGAAAUGGAGUUGGGUGGGCUGAGUCCUGCCAUGGGGAAGCCACCUGGGCCACACCGAGGCUGACCACAUGGCCGGACCCAGCCCGGCACCGGGGGAAGGGGUCACAACGCCCUUAGGCUGCCCUGUGGCUCCCGAGGCCCUGGGGUUGCAACCCUGAGCCUCAUGCCUCAGGCCUCUGCUGGACCCUGCGUGUUGCCCAGGAUGGCACCAGGGCCAACGGGCUGUGGCCCCUGUGCAGGACCAGGACCCCAAGGCCAAGCUGGACCCCACUAAGAGCCUCAGGGUCAGAGUGGCCAGCUGAGCCUCAAGUCCUCGCUCAGCGCCUGCUCCGAGGUGGCAGGGGACGCCAGGGACUGGGCCCUGGCCAGCUGUCCCCCAUCUUCGCAGCCCGGGUAGGCCCUCUCCCACCAGGGCCCCAGGAGCCAGCCGGAGCCCCAGGGGUGGGGCAGGGCAUGGGCAGCGGUGUCAGCGUCUGCGGAAGCAGCGGCAGGGAGGCACCGGGUGUCGCCCAGCUCAGGGUUAGCAAACUACAGAACAAUGUCCAACGCACGAGUCACACAAGCUGCAAGCUCUGGGGUCAGAGGACGCAGGAGCGAGGAGUAAUAACACCGGGUGGGCGAGCGGGCGGGCGGGACAGACGGGGCGGGCAGGCGGGGAGGCCGCAGACCUGGCGAGGUGAGCGCAGGGUCACUCCGUCCGUCAGCAGCGGUUAUGGGCAUAGCGGCCGCGGGGAGGCUGGCACUGGCAUUCAGAGGGUUAAAAGCAUUGGCGCCGAGUGGCGGGGGCUCUUCCCACUGAUCAUAUUUACCCAUGAGCGCCUUUCUAAUUAUGGCCUCCAGCCCCAUGUUGGUGCUGGCAUGCUCCGGCACUGCCUGGCUUCUACAGGUCAUUAGGCCUGGGAUGGAGAGAGACAGAUAGACGAACGACAGACACACACACACACACACACGCGCGCACACACACACACACGCGCGCACACACACACGCACACGCACACGCACGCACACACACACACACACACACAGGGGGCCGGGCGGGAGCCAGAGGGGCGCGGAGGGGGGAGGAGAGAGAAUACACAGUGAGCACAUUUUGCAAAGCAACACGUCUCUUCAUUUCCCUCCCCCUUGUCCUGCAGGGUGGUGCUGGCAAUGGGAAGGGACCUAAGGGGACCCCGGAAUCCCUGGGUGUUCCCAGGCAGUGGAGCUGGGGAGGGGGAGAGGUCCCCAGCCUCAUUUCUACUCUGCCCUGGGAAGUCAGAAGCCUCUGCUCAACUCCAAUCCUGACCCCUGCAGCUGCUGCUGCUGCUGCUGCUUUUUAACUCCAGUGGCUUCAAAGCGGGGCCAGGAGGAGAGAGCUGGCCUGGCCAGGGGCGGGGGGGGGGGGGGGUCUGGCAUUGAGCCUGAGCUGGGCACUGACAGUGGCAGGACAGGGCUGGGGGUGAAGAUUCAGUCCGGCUCCUCCAGGGGCUGGGGAAGGACCCAGGGAGGGACGGUGACCCGAUCGCCUGCAAGGCUGGGAACCCAAUGUCCUUGCUGGCCCCCCAAACUGGGCCUGCCUCUCUGCCCCCAUCCAGGAGCCAGAGGAGAAAGGUGCAGAGACGGUCGGGGGCGGGGCUGGCAGCCAUGCAGUUAGUGCAUGCGGGGAACAGGGUAGAGCUAGAGACAGCUGACGACCACUCCGCCCAGCCCCAGCUGGCCUGGCCCUGGGACAAGGACAAAGUAGUGGAUGCCACCACCUGGUCCCGAGCAAUGCUUCCAGACCCCGCUGCGCAACCCCGCUAAGCCCCUUUUGGUUCCCAGGUUUCCUUUCUCUUUGAACCACGCAGGAGGACUCUGCAGACCCUGGCAGGCAGGACCUCUUCUCGGCUCUCUGGGUACCCAGAUGUGACUCUCAAAACCUCUCCCAGAGCCCUAGUCCGACCCGCCUACCCAGGAUCCUCGCCCAGACAGCGGGGACAUGAAGGGCCGCACAUGGGGCUCCGUGUUUGCGAACCAGCCACUCCCCUCAGAGCCCCACUUCUGGGAGGCCACUGGCCAUACAGCUGCACUGCUGGGUGCUGCCCACACCACCUCCCACCAGCAUUAAAACGCCACGCCCAUCAAGGAAAACCAGGAUUUGCAACAGAGAUAGAAAAGAAGUUAAAAUCCCACACAUUCAGCAGACCCGGGAGAGCAGCAGUGCCACAGGGCAGACCCAGGCCUGACAGCUGCAGUGCAGCGGUGCUGCGGGGCUUCUCCCAGAGGUCGCGGCCCGGACCGGACAGAGCCCGCUUGGAUGGGUGUUUCUCCACUGAAGGCCAAGUCUGAGUGCCAGAGAAGGGGCCUGCGAACUGUUUUUGGGGAUUAACCUGCAUUAAGGGAGAAAAUCUGGGCGUGGCGGUGAUGCCUGUCACCCAGCCUUCCGAGAGGCUGAGGCAGGCGGACUCUAGGUCCGAGCCCAGCUAGGGAACUUCGUGAGACCCUGUCUCAAAAUAGAAUGUGAAACAAGGGCCAGGGAUGCGGCUCAGUGUGAAGGCCCUGGGUUCAAGCCCUAAUUCCACAAAAAACAAAGUAAAACAAGAACAAAAAUCACAUAUCGCUAACAUCCACAUUUCCGUACCCAUCUUCACCAAUCUUGAGCAGUGUGAACUCCAGCACGCCUGUACACCAGGGUGUCUGAUGGCCAUGCCAAGGGCUGGGAGACCCACAAACCCUAUCUUACCAUCCUGUUUCCACCACACGGUCUCCGUGUGAGCCCUCGAAGGGCCUGUGCGUGUCCAGUCUGGGCGGAUGACGCACCCCUGUGGGACCCCCACUGCCCCCAUGACCUUGGGUAACAGCCAGAAGGCCACCUCCCGCUCGCCUCGCUUCCGGGGCACAAGGUCCCUGGAUUCCACCUGGGAGGCCGCUGAUGCCCACCCUGCUGGCCUCAGCUCCCGGCAGGGGCACUGUCCUCAAGAGCUCUGGGACAGACCCCAAGGCACCCCAGCUCCGCAGCCGCCCAGGGUGUCCUGCGCCACGGCUCCGGGCUGCAAACCCCAAAUUCCUCCCUGGGGCAGCGGAACGUCCCGAGGAUGCUGGGAGUAGAUCCAGGGCCAUAGACGUCUUAGAUUCUGGCUUCUGACCACAUGUGGAUUUUACACCCCCUCCCACGUGUGCCUGCAUCUGACAUGGCAAAAAAUAAGGUCCCCUAGCUCCCCGGCUGGCUUCUCAAGGGAAACGGAGGUGCUGCCCACAAACCCCGGCCAGGCGUGCUGCCUCCGCCUGUGACUGGAGCAGGUCGGCUCUGGUCCCCGCUCACUAAGCACAGGUGACCUCGACCCCCUCAAGCAGCGGGCGCUGUCUACACCGACGACAGCUGGCCGGCCUGCCUGCUGCGUGCCUGGCUCCUCCCUGCGGGUUGCCUGAGACCAGGAGGAGGGACUGUCUUUGGUCGAGGACACACUGGGGCCUGCGGGCGCAGACAGUUACCUGCUCCGGUGAUGGCCGGCAUGUUGAAGAUCUCCGUCCCGGGCUGGCCAAUUGUAUUCCGGCUCCGUCCGGCUGUGGGUGUUGAGCUUCUUGUUGAUCUCCUGCUUCUUCGACUUGACCAUGGCAGAGUUGCUCUCCGUCAGCUUGCUGAAGAAGGCGGGCGGCUGGCUGGUGCUGCCUGGGGACUUGGAGCCCAUCCUGCCAGGGGACAGGGCGCUGACUGGACAGCUGGGGACCGGGCCCCUGGCUCCCGGGGCUGUGUCGCCCGCCCGGAGCCCACCCGGGGCCAGGCUCUGCACCAUGAGCACCUGGCCUCCACCUGCUCCCCGUCCCGGUACAGCAGCGGGUACAUGGCACUCCGGGGGUGCCCGGGCUCUGUCAUGCUCUCAGGAGGAGAAACGGGUUCGAUGCCAUCCUCGCCGCCUCCCAGGACUGAUGUCUUGCUUGGCUCUGGAGACCUGGGCAGAACGAGGGUCCAGGCUGCGGUCAGAGCCGACCUGCAGGAGCCGCCCCGCCCCGGCCUGGCCAGCUCCGCUGUCCACCAGGGCCUGGCAGGCUUCCCUCAGAGGGCACUGGGUGCUGCAGGCCAUGGUGGCCUUGGCCACCCGCCCUUCCCCACCAGCCUUUAAAGAUGCAAAACUAAAGCCAGGUGUGGUGGCACGAGCCUGUCAUCCCAGCACUCGGAGGCUGAGGUGGGAAGAUCAGAAGUUCAAACCAGCCUGGGCAACGUGGUGACUUAACAACCUGACUCAACAUAGAAAGUGCAGCUCAGCGCAAAGGCCCUGGGACUCCAUGCCCAGUGUUGUGCCACCCCGGGCAAUGCCUCCCAUCACCGCAGCGCUCUGUGGCCUGUGAGUGUGCACCUGGAUGCACGGGCAUACAGAUGUACGCACACUGGAGGCCAGGACACGCAGGCAAGCGAGUUCCUGCUGAGGAUCCGUGGCACGAGGCGAUGCUGCAGGUCUGACCAAGCCCUCGUUGGCUGCUGCAGGUCCCCUGUGCCAGGGACCAGCCCAGCCUCAGUUCUCCACCCACGCAGUGCACCAGGAGGGCCUGCCUCUGCCCAGCUGCCCCUCUGGGCUCACCUCUUGCCCCCCUCACUGUGCGGGGAGCCUUGGGCUGGGGUGCUGUGCUCGGGGGUGGGAGGUAGAGGUCGCUGGGCGGGCGGCGGAGGUCCAGCACUGGGCAGCUGGCUCCAGGGAAGGAGUAGAGUGGGGCGGGCAGCGGGGUGCCGAGCUGCUGUGGGUGGUGCCGUGUGUAGUCCUGCGUGAUGACCUCCUGCGGGCAGAGCAGUGUCAGCGGCCGCCCUGGAGACAGAGCAGGUCCCUGGCUGGCUGGGACCUGCCCACGGCCUCUGGGCCCCAAGGCCUGCAGGCACCAGGAAGGUCGGGUCCGAGGUCUCCCCAAUGGCCCCAGCGAGUUGGACCUGACGCCCUGCACCCACAGGGCAGAAGAUUGGGGUCGGGGUCACGGUGUCCGCCUCUGGGACCUCACCCACCCCGCCAGGCCCCAGGAAGGGAACCGUGUGCACCGCCCUCCCGGGCAGGGGGCGCAUAGUUACACUGAUGUGCUGUGCCAGGGUGACCACCCGCUGGUGACCUUUCACCCCGGGGGCAGUCUGCAGCAGCGGGCUGGAUGCGGGCUGGCUCUCGGGCAAUGGCCGAAGGUGCGGGAGGUGGGCGGCCUCCCCUCCAAGCUUCCCGGGGGCUGCAUGGAGAGCAGGGCCGAUCAGGGGAGCCUCAGUUUCCCCAGCUCUGAAACCGUGAAAAUGCUCAAGUACGUCAAAGGCAAUGAGACAGGGCAGGAGGAGGGGGAGGGAAGACGGGAGACAAACAGGCAGCAGCACGGCCUCCCCCGAUGGCCCCCAG
ensembl:lncRNA